rnacentral:rRNA from 1 species
GUGGAUUAGAUACCCUGGUAGUCCUAGCAGUAAACGAUGUAGACUUGGUGUCGGAGGUGUCAAAACCUUCGGUAUCGUAGCUAACGCGAUAAGUCUACCGCCUGGGGACUACGGCCGCAAGGUUAAAACUCAAAGGAAUUGACGGGGGCCCGCACAAGCAGCGGAGCGUGUGGUUUAAUUCGAUGCUACACGAAGAACCUUACCCAGGUUUGACAUGUUGGUGGUAGGAAUCCGAAAGGUGACCGACCCGCAAGGGAGCCUUCACAGGUGCUGCACGGCCGUCGCCAGCU